AGCGAGACUUGAAGGCAAUAGUGCACAAACAGCGGUGAUCCUGUGGAACUCUGCUGUUGCCCCCACCUCUGUUGAUUUGUCCUGGAAGUGGGGACUUCACACAAACCGUAUCAUGUCUUGGCUUUUCCUCUGAGGUAAUCAAGUUAACAUGACUGCUUGAAAAGUGGAAAUUUGGACUCAGAGACAGACACACACAGAGAAGGAAGACAGUGUGAAGACACACAGGAGAAGAUGGCAAUCUGACUGGAAUGAUACCCUUACAAGCCUGGGACACCAAGGAUUGAUGACAAACACCAGAAGGGGGAAGAGAAAACAAGGAAACCUAUAUUUCUUGAACUCCUCUGGUGCCUAGCAAUAUUUAGUACUGAACACAGCCUUUAGAAUUUCCAGGAGCCUUGGUGUUCAACUUGCUGCGAGAGCCGGAGCUCAGAUGCACCCCCUAACCGUGAGAGCAUGUUAAUGACUGCCACUGGCAACCUGCAUCUUCUUGGGUAAAUGCAUCACCAAGCUGCAGGCACAGCAAAACCUGAGAGGCCAAAGGCCCUUUGACUCAUCACACCCAGGAUGUCAGUGUGACAGUGUCUGAGGAAAGGGGCUGAUGCCUCGAGCUCCCUCUCCGAGGUUCCACUAUCUUCCAACAUCACCACACCAAGGACCAAGAUUCCAAACACACAGUUUGUUGGUGGAGGCACAAUCAGACCACAUCCCUGCAUCCUGGUGCCCUUAUUAAAGAAGCUGUCGAGAGCUGCCUCACCCCUUUCUUCCGUGCCAGGACAGAGCAAGAAGGCGUUUUCUAUAAAUCAGGAAAUGGGCCCCCAGUCAAAGGUCAAACCUGGAAUCUUGAUCUUAGAUUCCCAGCCUCUAGAACUGAGAGAAAAAAAAAAUACAUUUCUGCUGUUUAUCAUUUUUGUGGUGUUUUGUUAUAAAGCCCCAAAGGACUAAGAUACAUCCCUUUACCUUAAAGCUCAUAGUCUCAUACAAAUUUACCCACUUCUCCCUAGCUCGGAAUGUCAACAGUUUAUUUAUCAGGAAAAAGUAAAGUUCUGCCUUACCAGACACCUUGCUACACUCCUAUUUUAAAGUCUUUACUUUGAUUGAAAAUUGUUUUUAUGGAUUAUCAGUAGUGAGGGAAUGUUCUGAGAGCUGUCAACAAAGUGUCAGGGCGAAUGACUGAAAAGCAAUAUCAUUUCCUUGUGACCUUUAUUUGAUUGUGCAUUUGAACAACUCUACUUUCUCAAGAGAAGGUAAAGAGGCAAAAUAUUUUUCAGGAAGAGGAAACAUCUUUAUCUAUUACAAAUAUUUAUUGAA